GGCUUCUUCAUUGCCGCUAUGGGGCUGUUAAGUGAUGACGUCACAGUACCUUCGAUACGCAUAGCAACGAUCCCACUGGGGACAAACAAAAGUAGCGUCGUCUCCACCGAACCAGUUGUCAGUGGCAACAUUAUAGGAAUCGUGUACAUUUCUUCGUUUCUUCUUUGCUGUUUUCAGUGAGUGUUUGGUUUUCUCUUUGUCCUUGAUCUCGACGGUGUUGUCGUGCUCAUUACCUUACUGAGGCGUCUCUUAUGACUGUAGCCAGUGUCACGGAGGAUUUUAUUGGCGUGACGAGGUAGAACGCCGAGAUCGAGCGUGAGAAACGCUCUGCAUUAGUAGCUCCUGUAGAAUGUCUUCUGGGAUGGCGUAUCCAUGGUCAACAAAGCCAAGGUGCAAGACAGCAUAAGAGAUCGUGUAAACGAUGUGAACUCCAAAAGAUAAUCUGGACAAAUAAAUUGUAACUGGAGAGUGCAAUCGUGCUUGGGACCCAUCCCAAUGUCAUCACAUGGCUGUGGUGACUAGUGUAUACCUGUACCUGGGAGAGUUUUUCCUCAACUGAGACGGAGUGUAGGUGGAUGGAUUAUGAGAAAUGCGAAGAUGUGGAGUUCAAGGCUAGAUGCACUUCACAUUCGGCGUGCGAUCUCGGCGUCUGGGACCUGAUAACGUCUUGGUUGGAUGGGUAAUCGAGGAUGAUACUACUCGGCACACCAAUGUACAUGUCAAUGUAAUUUUUUACUUUUUCAGAGUGAUGCUUUUCAGGCACAAUCUUCCUCAGCCUACUCAAGCUCAACUGAUGAGGGGUGAAUUCCCCGAAACACUGUGUAUUGAGCAGGGAGUGGUGCUUUCUUGCAGGUUUGCCAAGUGGAAGGUGCGACGUGCUCCUCGUGUGCUCUGGAUGGCAGUCGUGAGUCAGUCAAGUGUCAAGUUCGGCAAGAAGCGUGUGUUCCUAGUUGGAACAAUCAACUUCAUGACUAUUACCGCCGAAGUCGCAACUUCUAAGUUCUUUAUGUAUUGUUUUAGUAAUGAAUUCUUUACGUAGUCAUGUGGUUUGCUUCACUGUCCGAAGAGUGCUCAAUAAUAAUCACAUGUCCUUUGCGUCUCUGUGUAUUAUCCACAUGUCCUUUGCGUCUCUGUGUAUUAUCCACAUGUCCUUUGCGUCUCUGUGUAUUAUCCACAUGUUCUUUGCGUCUCUGUGUAUUAUCCACAUGUCCUUUGCGUCUCUGUGUUUUUCACUGUUUUUAUUUGACAUUAUCUUUCUUUACGGAGUUGUUGUUGCUGUUCAUUUUGCUACUCUUUCUUUUUCCCUCCCCUUAUUUUUAUUGAUCGCCGUGGUUGGCAAUCACCCACUCUCUUAACAUUGGCCGGUGUUUCCACCGAGUCUUGAGAUGUUGUAAUAAAUAAAUAAU